UACGAAGGGUGCAAACGUUGCUCGGAAUUAUUGGGCGUAAAGCGCACGUAGGCGGCUUAGCAAGUUGGAUGUGAAAUCCCUCGGCUCAACCAAGGAAGUGCAUCCAAAACUGCUGAGCUUGAGUACUUAAGAGGAUCGCGGAAUUCCCGGUGUAGAGGUGAAAUGCGUAGAUAUCAGGAGGAACACCGGUGGUGUAGACGGCUCUCUGGACCGUAACUGACGCUGAGACACGAAAGCGUGGGUAGCAAACAGG
rnacentral:rRNA from 1 species